AGAGACCUAUUAUUGACCUAUAUGUUCUUUUGCAGUGUGGACAUCGAUUUCCAGAUGGAAGAUGGUCCCUGUCAGGGUUGGCUUGACGCACCUCUUUCCUCCUGACACAUUUCUCCCUUUUGCCCUCCAUUUGUGCCUCUUUGAAUUCCACAGCACUGUUGGUCACAGCUGACCUCUACUUAGAACAGUCAAGGGCCAGAGCUUCCCAGUUCUCAGUCUCUAUAACAUAGUUUUUUAGGUUGGCUUUAAGCCCAUUUUAAAUGUCUUUUCCUGUCCACUGAAAUUCCAUUUUCCAUUCUUGAGUUGAGAGUAGAGUUACUGCUUUGGGAGACGGUGAUCGGGCAUUCAGAAAAUAUGACAUUCAGUCCAGCGGAGUUGAUGGCUUAGGAGCAUUGCUUCAAUCCUGGUGGUCUUUGCUUCUUCCAGCAAGCUGACAUUUGUCCGCCUGCCUUCCCAGGAGAUUUGCAGGAUUUUUCGGAGGCAACGCUGGUGAAAUUAUUCCAGAAGCUGAGAGUGACAUUUUGCAGGCGUAUAACAGGGUUGGGAGGACAAUGGCUUUAUAAACAAGCAUCUUGGUUUCCCUACGUACGUCCUGAUCCUCAAACACUUUCUGCUUCAUUUGGAAAAAUGCUGCACUUGCAGAGCUCAGGCUGUGUUGUAUUUUAAUUUUUGUCAAGAGGUGACUGCCAAAGUAGUGGAAAUAGUCAUUUUUUUAAUGUUACACCAUUAAGCUGUAUUUCUGGCAUUGCAGAAUGCCAUACCCAUUGCUGGUCUGCCACCUCACCAUGAUUAAACCAUUAGGGGUUAUUGAUGGGGGAAAGAGUCUGGGAGCUCACAACCUCUGAGGAUGCGUGCCAUAGAUGUGGGUGAAAAGUCAGGAGAGAAUACUUCUGGAACAUGGCCAUACAGCCUGGAAAACAUACAACAACCCAGUCUGGGAGCUGCUAUGGCAAAGGGUAAGUGGAACAGCAGGAGAGCAGAGUUAACUUGAUUUAGCUCCAUGUUAAAAAAUGUCUGGGGAUCCUUCAGAGUUUGUCCCAAACUCCAGAGCAGCAUUAUAACUUCAUCCCAGAUUGGACAGUAGAACUGGGUGAAUCAGGAUGCUAUUCCACACAGGCCACUACUGUCAUCCCUUUACGUCGUAUUCAUCAGUGCAGAGAAAGGGAGAUGGAUUGGGCCCACAUUACCAUCAUGGUCACUGCAGAUAGCCACAA
rnacentral:lncRNA from 1 species